rnacentral:SRP_RNA from 1 species
UCCUUCUUUGGAGAUGAUGAUGUCUGUGAUGAUAAAGAAGAAGAAGACACAGACGCAGAAAGAAAGCAUAGAAGAUCUGCUGCGCUCAGUGGUGUUGCAAUAUUUGC